GGCUCAGAACGAACGCUGGCGGCAGGCCUAACACAUGCAAGUCGAGCGCGCCCUUCGGGGUGAGCGGCGGACGGGUUAGUAACGCGUUGGGAACGUACCCUUUGGUAGGGAAUAGCCACUGGAAACGGUGAGUAAUACCCUAUGAGCCCUUCGGGGGAAAGAUUUAUCGCCAAAGGAUCGGCCCGCGUUAGAUUAGGUAGUUGGUGGGGUAAUGGCCUACCAAGCCUACGAUCUAUAGCUGGUUUUAGAGGAUGAUCAGCAACACUGGGACUGAGACACGGCCCAGACUCCUACGGGAGGCAGCAGUGGGGAAUCUUGGACAAUGGGGGCAACCCUGAAUCCAGCCAUGCCGCGUGAGUGAAGAAGGCCUUAGGGUCGUAAAGCUCUUUCGCCUGUGAAGAUAAUGACGGUAGCAGGUAAAGAACCCCGGCUAACUCCGUGCCAGCCGCCGC
rnacentral:rRNA from 1 species